rnacentral:rRNA from 1 species
UCGAGCGCACCUUCGGGUGAGCGGCGGACGGGUUAGUAACGCGUGGGAACAUACCCUUUUCUACGGAAUAGCCUCGGGAAACUGAGAGUAAUACCGUAUAAGCCCUUCGGGGGAAAGAUUUAUCGGGAAAGGAUUGGCCCGCGUUAGAUUAGAUAGUUGGUGGGGUAAUGGCCUACCAAGUCUACGAUCUAUAGCUGGUUUUAGAGGAUGAUCAGCAACACUGGGACUGAGACACGGCCCAGACUCCUACGGGAGGCAGCAGUGGGGAAUCUUAGACAAUGGGCGCAAGCCUGAUCUAGCCAUGCCGCGUGUGUGAUGAAGGUCUUAGGAUCGUAAAGCACUUUCGCCAGGGAUGAUAAUGACAGUACCUGGUAAAGAAACCCCGGCUAACUCCGUGCCAGCAGCCGCGGUAAUACGGAGGGGGUUAGCGUUGUUCGGAAUUACUGGGCGUAAAGCGUACGUAGGCGGAUUGGAAAGUUGGGGGU